rnacentral:precursor_RNA from 1 species
UUGUCCGUGCCCCACCCACUCACCCGUGUGUGUGUGUGUGUGUGGGCGCCGGACGCCC